CUGCCACACACGACGGAUUUAGAC
rnacentral:siRNA from 1 species